GACUCGCUUGUGGGCGUGCUGGCAGCAUGUUCGAUUGUGCGUCAAGAAUUCAGCAUAGCAAGUUUGUAUGAAGGUCUAGUUAUUAAUUAGUACAUAGUUCAAUAGUAAUAUCCUCGAAAACGCUCUGGUGACAAACACACUUUGCUGCCCUGUUUCCAAUUGUCCACAUGGCUGGGAGAACCUAUUCAAAUACCUUGUAACUGGAGAUUCUUUCAAAAUGAGUGCCUACAGUUAAGGUGUAGGGCACUGCAAGGUUGGGUGACCAGGAGGGCCAUCUGGUACUGCCUCCUGGAGUAAUUCAGGUGUGUGAAGGCUACCUGUGUCCUGCAUAACUUCAUGAGGAUGGACACGAGGACCAGGAGGGGAUCUGCAGCUCGCUGCUGUCUGCCAGAGGAGAAGUCUGCUGCUCUGCAGGAUGUUUCAAGGAUGGGGUCCAACAAUGCAGCAAGAGGCAAUCCUUGUGCGGGAGAUCUUCACCUCCUACUUCUUCAAAGAGGGCGCUGUUCCCUGGCAAUACUAUAGACUACACGAUGCACAAAGGCUCUUAAGAGUCAUUCACAUUGCAAUAAGAAUAUUCUUCCAUUUACUAUUCUUCCAUGUCAACUGAAGUUAUUCAAUUCCCAGUUUCUCUCCCUUUGAUUUCUACUUCUCAGGUGAGGGUGCUGUUAAGGUAAGGGUGUGAUGUCUGUACAAAAACAGGCUAUUUUAAAUCACCCAUAUUGAAAGAAUGUAGAACAAUUAGACACCCUGUAACCCACACACUCGUGUCAAUCUGAUUAAUGGAUUGUGUUGUGCAGUAAGCAGGCUCAGGUGUAUAACUGUGUCUCCUUGCACCUUCAAAAAAUAGGCAAGAGGGUCAACCAUGGAGAAUAGUAAGACACUUCAUUAUUUCUAUAACUACGCUAUAUUGUUUGUUCAUGUUUUUCAGCAAAAGUACUCUGCAGCCACUUAGUGUGGUGUGGACACCAGGUUAUAUCAGCUGUGUCGGUGAACCCCUCCCUCAUCUGAACUGGCUACAUGGAGGGCACAGCAUGAGCAGAGAUGAGGUCACUUAGUCAGGUCAACAGGAAGUAUUAUUAAAGAGAUGCUUUACAUAGAAAUACAGAUAUAGAUGCAGUAGUCCCAGAGUUAAUGAUCCAAGGUCAGUUUUGCAUUUCACCUCCUGAUUAUUAUGACUAACAAGGUUAGAAUAAAAAAUGAACACAAGACUUAAACAUGCUAUCUGUCUCUAGUCUGCAGAUAUGUUUUGACGUGGGAGAGGAUGCCAACCCCCAGUCCCAUCAUUGCCACCUCACCCGCUUUUAAGAUAACCUUCGGACUGUCUAGUUUCACUACUAUGUAAUUGUGAUGAACUGAGAGAAUAUUUGGGUUGCACUGUGAUUCAUUAAUCAUAUGCUGCCUUCCCUGCCCCCAUGUCUUACCUCUUUCCCUUUCUGUCUUUUACACCUCUCUCACCACCUCUCUUCCUGUUUUUAUAAUGCACAACAGAUGUGCAUUGAAGUACAGAUUGAACUUGUAUUUAUAAUAUGACAAUUAUAUUUAUAAUGCAUGUAUUUAUAACACUUGGAUAAUGAACUUCUUUCAAUAAAGCGUUUCACAUUGUCUGCUGGUUGAAAUUAAGUCUCAUUUGAUGAAAUACUACACCUAUCCUGUAUAUCAGGUCAAUGCAGAUGAAGGGCAUUAGAUAUUGAGAUUAACCAGUUUUAGAGUAUUUACAUGAUGCAUAGGAAGUGUAGUGUACUGUUUAAAAAAUAAAUAAUUA